CCGCCCCCCUGCCGCCCCCGCCCGGCCCACGCCCAGAGGCCGCCCCGGAGGCCGCCGCCAGCCGCCAGAAUUAAGAAGAAGGAGCAUCCACAAUCACAGCAGAUGAAGAUCCACUGGUAAAUUAUCAGGAUUUUUGGCCUGCCCUCUAAAGAAAAGGAGCGGAAAGAAUGUCGGAGCGGGCCGCGGAUGACGUCAGGGGGGAGCCGCGCCGCGCGGCGGCGGCGGGCGGAGCAGCGGCCGGCCGGCAGCAGCAGCAGCAGCAGCCUCCGCAGCCCCCGCGGCAGCAGCCGCCGCCGCGGCGCCCACGGCCGGAGGACGGCGGCCCCGGCGCCGCCUCCACCUCGGCCGCCGCAAUGGCGACGGUCGGGGAGCGCAGGCCCCUGCCCAGUCCCGAAGCGAUGCUGGGACAGUCGUGGAAUCUGUGGGUCGAGGCUUCCAAACUUCCUGGGAAGGACGGGACGGAAUUGGACGAAAGUUUCAAGGAGUUUGGGAAAAACCGCGAAGUCAUGGGGCUCUGUCGGGAAGACAUGCCAAUAUUUGGUCUUUGUCCAGCCCAUGAUGAUUUCUACUUGGUGGUGUGUAACGACUGCAAUCAGGUUGUCAAACCACAGGCAUUUCAAUCACAUUAUGAAAGAAGACAUAGCUCAUCUAGCAAGCCUUCUAUGGCCGUUCCUCCCACUUCAGUAUUUUCCUUCUUCCCUUCUCUGUCCAAAAGCAAAGGAGGCAGUGCAAGUGGAAGCAGCCGUUCUUCCAGCGGAGGGGUUCUUAGCGCGUCCUCCUCAAGUUCCAAGUCGUUGAAAUCGCCCAAAGAGAAACUGCAACCCAGGGGGAACACCAGGCCAAUACAUCCCCUCCAGCAAAGUAGAGUCCCCCACAGUAGAAUCAUGACGCCGUCUGUGAAAGUGGAGAAGAUUCAUCCGAAGAUGGAUGGCACACUACUGAAACCUGCGGCGGGGCCACCCUGUCCUGCUACUGUGAGUUCCUCAGUCAAGCCUGGCCUUAACUGCCCCUCAAUACCAAAGCCAACCUUGCCUUCACCUGGACAGAUUCUGAAUGGCAAAGGGCUUCCUGCACCACCCGCUCUGGAAAAGAAACCCGAAGACGGUUCCAAUAACAGGAAGUUUUUAAAUAAGAGAUUAUCAGAAAGAGAGUUUGAUCCUGACAUCCACUGUGGGGUCAUUGAUCUCGACACCAAGAAGCCCUGCACCAGGUCUUUGACGUGCAAGACACAUUCCUUAACCCAGCGGAGGGCUGUUCAGGGUAGAAGAAAACGAUUUGAUGUGUUAUUAGCCGAGCACAAAAACAAAACCAGGGAAAAGGAAUCGAUGCGCCAUCCGGACUCUCAGCCACCACCGCAGCCUCUCAGGGACCCGCAUCCCGCCCCUCCUAGGUCGUCGCAGGAGCCGCACCAAAACUCUCCUUCUGAAUCAAAGCCUUCCGUAGCUAGCAAACCUAAACCUCACACCCCCAGUCUUCCAAGGCCUCCAGGCUGCCCUGCUCAGCAAGGUGGGAGCGCCCCCGUUGACCCUCCUCCAGUCCAUGAGUCUCCACACCCUCCCCUGCCUGCCACUGAGCCAGCCUCUCGGUUAUCCAGUGAGGAGGGUGAAGGCGAUGACAAAGAAGAGUCUGUUGAAAAACUGGACUGUCAUUAUUCAGGUCGUCAUCCUCAGCCAGCGUCUUUUUGCACAUUCGGGAGCCGGCAGAUCGGGAGAGGGUAUUACGUGUUCGACUCCAGGUGGAACCGGCUCCGCUGCGCCCUCAACUUCAUGGUGGAGAAGCAUCUGAACUCGCAGCUGUGGAGGAAAAUCCCACCAGUGCCCAGUACCACAUCACCCGUCUCUGCACGUGUCCCUCACCGGACAAACUCUGUGCCGACGUCACAGUGUGGGAUCGGCUACCUUGCCGCAGCCACCGUCUCUGCGUCCCCAGCACUGCUCUCAUCCACCUGCAUCUCCCCACAUAGCAAAGCGGUACCAGCUCAUGGAACCACACUAAAUGCACAGCCUGCCACUUCCGGGGCGAUGGAUCCUGUGUGCAGUAUGCAAUCCAGACAAGUGUCCUCUUCAUCCUCGUCCCCUUCCACACCCUCUGGCCUCUCUUCAGUCCCCUCCUCCCCCAUGUCCAGGAAACCUCAGAAGUUGAAAUCCAGCAAGUCUUUAAGGCCCAAGGAGUCUGCUGGUAACAGCACUGACUGUCACAAUGCCAGCAGCGGUACCAGCGGCGGCUCAGGAAAGAAACGCAAAAACAGCUCCCCACUGCUGGUUCACUCUUCUGCCUCCUCCUCCUCCUCCUCUUCUUCUUCUCAUUCCAUGGAGUCUUUUAGGAAAAACUGUGUGGCUCACUCCGGGCCUCCCUACACGUCGGCAGUGACAUCUUCCCACAGCAUCGGCCUCAACUGUGUGACAAACAAAGCGCACUCGGCCAGCCUCCGGCACGAGCAGUCAGGGAGGGGCCCCCCCAGUGGGAGCCCCGCAGAGUCCAUCAAAAGGAUGAGCGUGAUGGUCAACAGCAACGACGCCACGCUCUCCCUGGGCCCCUUCAUCCACCAGGCCAGCGAGCUCCCCGUGCAUGCCCACGGGGGCUUCCCGCUGGCGCACACUCCGCUGGACAGGCUCAUAGGAAAGAAAAGGAAGUGCUCGCCCAGCCCCAGCGCCGUCAGCAGCAGCAGCAGCAGUGGCAAGGCCACCAAGGUCGCCAGACUGCCCACCAUGAACAGUGUGCACAUGAAGCACACGGGCACCCUCCCCGGGGCCCAAGGACUGACCAACAGCUCCCUCCUGCACCAGGAUAUCUCCUCACCUUGCUUACGAACAGGAAUUUCAGCUGCAGCACCCCAGAGCCCUGACUUAAAAUCCAAAGGCACGACCCUGACGACUGAAAACAGCACAGGGAGGAACAAUCCGGACACUUUUGAAGACAAGUUACACCUCCAUGCAGCACUCUGGACUCCGCGAUGCCUUUGAGUCUCUUCCCGACCUCCUGUGGGCCCAGGGGAGCCCGCCAGGCCCAUGUUUGACGAGGACUUCCCUGAAGCUGUGUCUGUAGCAGUGACCUGUCCCUGGAUCCCAAAAGACCAGCUAGAUUUUCCAAGGAAGUUGGGGGCAGCAUUUUAGGAUGGUGGCAUGUGGGACCUCACCCACAGAAAAACAGGGGCCUCCAGCAAAACUGUGCAAGACAGGAUGAACAAAUGAGAUCCUUGGAACAAAAACAGGUCACAGAGCUGUUGUAAUAAUCCAGGUGAGAGCUCCGGAGUUUACAGACUGGCUCUGGAAACCUUUUUAAAGGAGGAGCCAACAGGCCUUGAGGUCUGGUUACGUUGAACAUUAACAGGAAGAGUGAGUUUAAGGUUUCCACCUGGGCCAGACUGGUGGAUGAGCUUCAAGUACAAUGUGUGACAUGGUCACAGAGAAUAAGACAGACAUAUGGCCUUAAGCUACCAGCGAGAAAUUCAGGUUAAUUUAGAACCUAUGUGGCCGUCUGGGGUGCUGGGUGCACUCUCUCCCUUCAGCAAAGAAUUGAAGAACAGACACAGAGACAGCAAGCGAGAAGUGGGUAUAUUGCAAAGAUGACAGAGAGACAGGACUUCUCCUGACAGAGGGGCCCUCGAGCUGGGAGUCUGGUGGGGAGUUCUGGCCUGUUCCUUUUAUGGUCUCUGGAAUGUCCUCCUUCCCUUAGCUCCGCCCCCGUCCAUGCUCUUCUGUUAUUGAUUGGUACCUUCUCUGUCCAGGCUUCUGUUUUGGUUUUUCUAUUGGGUCCCCCACUUAGGAACACAAGUACGGAAGUGUCUGUCUGAUUGGGUCCCCGCUUGAGUCCACGAGCACUUUGGUCCAGCAGGAAGCUGACCUCAUCAGAAGACCCUCUCCGUGCUCCUCUGUUCUGGCCCUGCCCCGACCUCCUCACUGGCCGUCUUACCCUGGCCGCCCCAGCCCUUCUGCAGCUCCCUCACCUGGUUGGCUGUGGAGUGUGGAUGCAGCUCGGGAGGGAGGUCGAGCUGUAAGACGUAGAUUUGUUUUUCACGUAUAGGUAGAUGGUGAGUGAGGCCAUAGAGGGGAUGGUUUACCUGGAGAAGGUGCUCAUUACUCUAUCUGACUUAUUGAAGUAAUGCUUACGUCUGGUCCUUACUCUGCUAAAUAGCGUGCCUAGCAUUUCACAGUCUCAGCCCUUCCAGGACAGGUGUUCUGACCCACCCACACUGAGGAGAAACUAAGGUGUCGGGCCUGAGGUCUCAUGGCUGGUAGGCAGAAGAGCCAGGGGAUGAAUUCAGGACAGUCGGGACAGAGGUCUUUUUUUUUUUUUUUUUUUUGGUCACACUCCAAGAAUCAAAUGGAAGAAGUUGACGGGGACCCUGACAGAUGCACAGGCACAUCACAUUCCAUUUCUAGAAUUUCACAGACUUGAAGCCCACCCUCCAUCAAGCAUGAUGAUGCUGUGCUUCAUCCUGGCUCAGAGAGAAAAGACCCAGGAUGAAACACAGCAUCAACACCACAGAGCCAAGAGUCAGAGGGGAGACAGGGACUGGAGAGACCAAGAUGGUUCAGAGAGACAGAGAAACGCAGGCCAGGUACAGUGGUGCACAUCUGUAACCUCAGUGGCUUGGGAGGCUGAGCCAGAAGGAUUGCAAGUUGAAGGACAGCCUCAGCAACUUAGAUCCUAAAUCAAAAUGAAAACUAAAAAAGGGCUAGGGGUGUAGCUCAGUGGUAAAGCACCCCGGGUUCAAUCCCCAAUACCAAAAGAAAAGAAAAAAGGAAACAUAAGUUUAGAAAGUUGACACCACUAAAAUCAUCAACCCAUUUAGGUAACAGGUGUUUGGGGUUUUUCUCUUCUGCUGCUUUCUCCAGGACCCUGAGAAUGGAGGGUGUUGGUUGGAUGGGAGAAGUUAGGAGCUUGGGCGGGAGAAUGGAGGGUGGAGAGAGGGAGGCAGGGACCCGAGGGUGGAGAGAAAGAGGGAGGGACCGGCCGCUGGGUCUUGGGGGAAGGGAACUGGAGGCCCCCUGCGGAACCUCGGCAGGCCCUCUCAAGACCCUGCUUCCAGUUAAGUUGUAGGUUAAGUUGUAGGUUAAGUUCCGGUUAAGUUGUAGGGUGGUUCUUCCAAGGAACCCAUGGUUAAACAAGCUCAGGGGUUUGUUCAGCGUGAGUCUGUGUUCACAUCAAUAUAGCCAGCAACUAAGGGCUGACGCGCAGGGUGGGAGCCAGGGACCCGUAUCAAGGUGGCUUAGUUCUUUGGGGAAUAGGCCAGAAGACAGGAAUAGCUAGAAGAAUCUAGAGGAAUCCCAGGCUUCAUUUCCAAAAUCACAUCUGGACACAGGUGCCUGUGGUUUCCUAAGGGAAACCAUGGGAGUGGUUGGAAGCGGCCUGGAGGAGGACCUGCAGUUAGGGCUCAGAAGGGUGGCCCGGGCUGUGGUCUGGGGUGUCCACUUCAAAGUCCUUGGGCUGUGAGGAAGGCUGAGCCUGCCCUCGAGCCUGGAAUGAACUGGGGCAGCGAGUCGGAGGUGUGUGCUGGAGGACAGUGUAAGCAGGUCCAAAGAGAAGGUGUACAGUGGCCAGGGACCAGCAAGCAGUGGGUUUCACCCUGACCCCAUAUUUCUGAGGCAUGUGUGAAAGCACAGCUUCUGAUCCAGAGGGGGGCCGGGAGAAGCAGAGUCCUCAGAAAUCAUGCGUAGUUUGUCAGCACAGCUCUCUGGUAAGGUCUGACAAGGAGGGCAGUGUGGUUGUCAGGGCACCACCUACUGGCAGUUGGGCUAAAUGUCACUUCCCCCAGGGAAGCCCAGGAGGGGAAGGCCGAUGGAGUCUCUGCUGUAAUGAAGGUCAGUCAUUCACUAGCAAAUUGUUCAUUUUUUUUUUUUUUUUUUCUUUUUGGUAGUUAGAUGAUGGACAGUGGGCCUUAUUUUGUUUACUUUUAUGUAGUGCUAAGGAAACUCUGCCACUGAGCCAUAUAGCCCCCAUUUUAUUUCUUAAACCCAAUCCUCACAGGGACAGUUAUGUCAUUACAAGAGAUUUCUCAAUGACUGACAGAGGGUCACCCUCCUCCUUGACCAUGUCCCUCAAGGCUACAAUGGCUUGGACUAAACCACUGCAAAUUCUCAUAGCACGCGUGUCCUCGGGAACACAGCAACGCGCGCCUGUGGUCUUAUGGCUUGGAAAGGAAAACCAGUGGCUGUUGAAGCUCUCCAGUUUCCAGACGGGGACUGACUCACUCCCCCAUCACCGUUUGUCAGGGUGGGAGCUUGCUAACAGCUGUGAGUGUGUGCAGCAUUGGGAAGGUGAGGAAGGGGGAUGGGGCAGAGAAGUAGGAGCCGUUCAUCAUCAUCUUCAAAAAAAAAAAAAAAAAGGUUCAUAGCACCAACAGAGUUACUAUCAGUUGAUUUGUUAAUGACCAGUAAGCUUCUAUUAUCAGUUUAAUGUUCAGUCAGGUUGCUGAGAACUAAAUGUGUUCACUCAUUAUCCUAAGUGAUUGCAGGUGCUCAGGGAUCAAAUUGUAGACACCCGUUUAGCCAUUUGGGUCAGGUAGAGAUUCGUGCAGAUGCUGAACAAAGUUCAUUUUUGGACUGUAUAUUCCUAGAAGUUUGUUAAUGUGUUAAAAAUUAAUCUAAAGGGGCCAGGGUUGUGGUUCAGUGGUAGAGUGCUCACCUGGCACUUAUGAGGCACUGGGUUCAAUCCUCAGCACCACAGAAAAAUAAAGUUAUUGUGUCCACCUAUAACUUAAAAAAUACAUAUUUAAAAAAUUAAACUAAAGCUGUUAUUUCUGAUAUAGAUGGCCAUCUGGACUGGUAGAUUUGGUGGAUAAACACAUUUUAUUAAGGUGAGAGAAACUAGCAUUAUUGCCUUAAAAAAUAAUCACACAGUUCAUCCCCCUGAUUGGAUUUCAUAAUGACUACACCCAGGGUUGAUAGAAGUGGUGAGAUCAAGCUUCCAACUUCAAAAGAAAAUACUCACCAAUAUUAAAAAGGAACUAAGUAUGAUUGUGCUAGCUUUGUGUCACAGUGCAGAUCAAACUAUCAUUUGAUGGUAAUCUCAUUUCCAUAUGGUGAGGUGCCCUUUUUGUCUAAAACCAGAAAAUUAGGACUUUGAUAAAACAAGCUACAAAACUUGAAGCUACCAGAGGUGAGAUGCAGGUUAAGAAUUCUUUGGCUAGAGUCUCCUAGCCAGCAGAUGCUGGGGCUGCCGACCUUCACCUUCAAGUGCACAGUAUGAGGAGCAGGGCAGGGUGGCAAGCUCCAGUGCCACCAGGGGCCAGACGGGGGUCCCGUCUGUGGCUCCCAGGCAGGUAGAGGGGCCUGCUGGAGAGCAUGCUCCCAUCACGCUCAGCUGUAGGGAGUACAGGUCCACAGUGAGCCUCAUCUACCCAUUUUUCCAGAGAAACUGGAAAUAGUUUUUUAACUCACUUAGAUGGUGGCCAUAAACGUUUGUUGUUUUGCACUUCUGUGGCAUCAGGAAGCUGCGCCUCUGCCUCCGGGUUUUCGGGGAAAGCACAGCCAUGGACCUGACAUUGUCUGGACAGGCAGCACUGUUUAAAUGAACUGGCUGAAGGCAGAAAAGCAAGGUUGGAAGUCCCCAUGCUAUGUCUUCUCCCCUUCUGAGCAAACCCAAGUUGGUUAACAACAUCAAUUUGGUGGUCUUUCUGUACCCAAGUCUGUCACACUGGCAUAGAUGACCCUAUUCAGUCAUCUACUAAUGUCCCAGUGGCUUUAUCUUUUACUUUGUAUUGUCUGAGGUCACCUAAGCAAGCCUCGACUGAGCCUGAUCGGGGCCCAUUUGACAGACACAGGUGAAGCACCUCCCUGCUCAGCGCCGUGUGGGCUGGGCCUAGAGAGAGGCAGUUUCUCCCAAUCUCACAGCCUCACUUAAAAUUAGAGUUGUUUGGGGCUGGGGAUGUGGCUCAAGUGGUAACGUGCUCUCCUGGCAUGCACGGGGGCACUGGGUUCGAUCCUCAGCACCACAUAAAAAUAAAAUAAAGAUGUGUCCACCGAAAACUAAAAAUAAAUAUCAAAAAAAGAUUCUCACUCUUAAAAAAAAAAAAAUGAGAGCUGUUUGGUCCCAAUUUUAUUUUCACCUCCAAAUCAGUAUUCUGAGGUAUAGCGGGGUGCCACUGAGACCUGUAAUGGAGAGAGAAACUCCUGAACGGUGGGUGACAAGGGCUGCAAUUCUGCACUAAAACCUUGAUGAGCACAGAGAAUAUUCUUCAGAACGUUAGCAGUGGUCAUCUCUGUAGGGGACCAUUUCAAAGCAGUUCCACUUUGCUUGAAUUUCUUUUGAAAUGAGCAUAUAUUACUUUUCAUGACGGAAACACUCCCUCCCCCAGCGGCACUAUCUGCUUCCUUGGUCCCCAGGCUCGGAGUUCUCAGUGUCCAUCCCCCAUGGGGAGGAAGUACAACUUUGUCCCUUUCCGCAUCUCCCUCCUGUCAUUCUCACCUACUAAUUUUAGGCAGUUGGGCUAAAAUGGUAAAAGGAAAAAGAAAACCAAGCACAUUUUAAGCAAGGAAGGAGGAGAACAGAUGUUCUGGCCACUUUCCUCUAAGGCCACAGGGACUCUCAGCAGAAAAGCCACAGUUGCUGUAUGAUCACAUCAGGCUGUGUCCUUUCACUAGAGGGAGUUGAGGGAAAGACUAUUUUUAAAAAACUGGCAAUUUGAUCUUAUUUUCCUUCUAGCAUGAACUGUAAGGAGUCAGUUGGCUAAAAAGUAGAAUUCUGCUCAUUUUAUUUAUUUGCAAUACUGGGGAGUGAACGGUAGGCAAGUGCUCUACCACUGAGCUACAUCCUGGGCGCUUUUUGAGACAGGAUUUUACUAAAAAUUACUGAGGCUGGCCUCAAACUUGUGGUCCUCCUGCCUCAGCCUUCUGAGUAGCUAGGAUCACACACACACACAGCUCAUAACUGUUCUAACUUUAAAGGGAGACAAGGAGCACAGUAAGUUCUCAAUGACAAUUUGCUGGAUUUAACAGACUACACUUGAUGAAUUGCAGGAUCUUGUAUGGACACUUACGUUCAGUUUGUUCACAAAAUUAAGGUUUUAUGGAUCAUUUUGAAACCUAUAGGCGGGUAUUCUUAAAUGCUUUACGCAUCCAACUGAAAGCCUCCUGUCCACCUCCACACAGCCCCACCAUCUCUCCUGUGAUAAUCUGAUGGCAACCACUGUCUCAACCUGUAAGAUAAUGCUUCUGAUAUUUUGCCAUUACGUAUCUUGUCGUGGUAGGUUUUUUUAUUUUAUCAUUUGGUUUAUAGAAGAGUUUUUGUUGAUUAUGAGAAUGUUGGAGUUAGUUUCAAAUAAGAUCACAUUUUCUCUAAUGUUAGUGAUCAUUCCCAUCAACCAAAAAAGCAUGCUCCAAAGCAACAACGAAACCUCUUUCUCUUCCCUGUGAGAUGCCAAAACUCACAGCCAAGAGUCACCUUUAACCUAAGCAAACAGCCUCCGAUCUCCCCGAUUUGUUUUCUCACCUGCCCUCCUGCCAUUUUACUUUCAGCAGUUGGGCCACUGCCGCCAUCCACCCCUGUCCCACCCAGUGUCGCCUCCAGCUGAUUGCUACAGUGACACUUUGAAAGAAUCAGAGGUCCUUACCGUACUGAUGAGUCCUGGGUCCUAUGCCUCUGACUGUGACCAUCAUACACCUUGAACAGCACUCGUUCGAAUGACAAAACACUUUUCAUUAAUGAAUAAUUCAAGUGACAUUAUCAUUAUAGGACUACCAUCCUUAAAGGCAAGUAUGUUUAAGAAAAAAAGUGAAACAACAAUGUAGUAUUUAUUUUAUAAGGUGAACUGGGCACAUAGUGAAAUAAGCUAUAAAAAUUCCAAUUACUCAGAAGAAAAAUCCUUUGUUCAAAUGACUUUACAUAUUAAUUACUCUGGAAAGUUUCUGAACUCUGUUUAGUAGCAGAUCUCCUUUCUUGAUAGUUUCUUGGUACUGCCAGUUCUUGCUAUCAGGUCUAUAAAUAAAUACAGGAAGAAAGUGAAUUAUUUACCAGCCACAUUUCUCCAUGACAAUCACUGACCUACAUUUCUAAGCCACUUGCAAAUACCCCUUAUUCUAUGCACAAAACAGUACCUGUUGGUCUCCACUAUUUCAUUCACUUUAUCAAUUUUGCAGUGUAGUCUCCCAGCGGCAAUAAAUCUGGACAGUUCCCUAAUUGAAAGAAAGGAAAACCAGCAUUAGCCUUAGAAAGAAUAGUACUUGCAGAAUGCUUUGAAACUCAUAUUCAGUGUUCUUUCAGGUAACCCUUAGUCUUCCUUCUAGCCUGAGCUAUUAUUGCAUAUGCUGUACUUUUGAGAUGUCCUUGGUGUACUGUUGGAUUUAUCAUCUACACAUACAACCCUAGAAUUUACAGUAAUGGGACACAGGUGUCCAACAGUGAAGCCAUUCAUACCAAGUUUUUAAAGGACCUGGAGAAGAAAUGAUUCAACUAUUACACUGUUUCAGACAAAGCCCAUGAUCUGCAACAGCCUGUACUGAGAUAGUCCCUUCCCGGAGGAAAUGUACCAGCUGCCUUGAAUUCACUGGUCAUCAAAACUGUGGCUUCCGUGCAUCUCCUCCUCCACCUGAGCCUCCCAUUGCCACCACUAGUGAAGUUUAAGGAACUGACCAAGGCCACACAGCUGUUCAGUUGCAGAGCUGGAAGAAGCAGCCACUCCUUCCCCCAACUCAGAAAACCCAUUUAUGGGGUCCAGCCCAGUAAACAGUCUUCUGGGCCAUGAUUACCGAAUUUGGAAUUCAAUAUGCAACAAAACCAGGAACACCAGCAUUUAAAAACAAGAUUACUAUCACUGCUUUUCUUUCUUUCAAAGGAAGAAAAUGAGGGAAAGACAACAGGGCUUUGGAUUAGGUCUAGCUGUGCACUGCAUCUCAAAACAAAUACUGAUCCAUUAGUGUCUGAAACUUGCUCUGACAUGGUUAAAAAAUAACAGCAAAUAAAAUGAUAAAAUUCAUUGUAGAAUUAAAGAAUGACAGAUUACAAAGAAAAUGGUCUUAUUUAAAUGAAACACACCCUCAUUUUGUCAUCGUGAACCACUGAAAACUGUAUAUGACUUAAGGACCUGUAUCGGAAGCCAUGAUGGCACAUGGCUGUCACAUACACUCAGGGCAAGGAAGUCCUGCAGUAGCCUCCCAGCUGGAAAACAAGGACGACCCCACACACAAACACCCGCUGCCUAACUCACUGACCUCAGUGCCACACUCGACCACCAUUCCCCAAUGAUGCUGAGUCCCCCUGGCUUUUUCUGUUCCUGUGAUAUCCAAGCUUGUCCCCUUCUCUGCAUCUAGAACUCCAUGGGGCUAACUGUCAAUCAUAUCUCAAAGCAAAUCCUCCCCUCUCAGGCCUGCCACAUGUAUAUACAGUCCCGAGGGCACUAGAACACUUUCUCAUCUCUAUCAAUACCAAGCACACACAGAGAUCUAUUUGAAUCACUGUCUUAUUCAAAUACAAAAAGUCCUAAGUUCAACCACUAGUUUGGCCAGAAUUAGGACCAAAUGUAAAUACAGAAACCUAAGGUAAAACAUUAGCUGCGCGUAGCUGUCAGAGGAACAAAGGAUCACGGCAACUUUAGUGACCACUUCUCUGCACCUCGCUCUUCCCAUGUAUCAACAAGAGGGGAAGACUGAGGAAGGAAGAGAUGACAGAUGUGUUUUGAUAUUUAGAAUCAAAUUCUUGAUGUGUAUUUUUUCCCCUCAAAACAUAAUAUCCAUAGGCAAUGUAGAAACUCACAUUAGAAGGCAAUUGUAAAACUAACACGGUGCUAAACUUACUGAUCAAUGAAUUCCACUCCAACACCAAAUGCUUCUGCCAUGUAGCCUAGGGUUAAGGACCUGUAGGAUUCCAGCAGCUGGCUGUAGGCGUGAAUUCUCAUUUCUCUUACAUAGUAUCGAUAAUGAGGAGCAAAAAGCCAAUCCUUUUUCAUUUCCUGUUCCACAACCGCUGCAAUGAAUAAGAUGAUAAGUUAUGUGAUUCCACCUUCCAUCUUAAGGGAUUAAAAUCUAAAACAACUCUUGAGUCCAAGAGACAGACUUAGUCAAGUAGAGAAUUUCUCUCUGCCCUUCCACACCACCUCAACAGCAGCCGUGACCAAGUUGAGGCCAGCUCCAGGCACAUCAGUCAUGCGGCACUUGGCUAUCUGACAUCACCUAUUAAAAAGAACCCAGUUUCUAAAGGAAUGUGUCCACAGACUGACAAAGUAACUAUAGGGAACUUCUUAUACCCUUAAGAAAAAUUUGUGACAUAAAAAAAGACCAGAAAGCAGUAUAAAUUGGACAUUUUAAAAGUAACAAAGCAGAAGCAGUAAAGGGAAAGACUGAUGAACCCUACUGUCAGAAAUGUAAAUGGUCUUAACGCCCUAUAAAUGUUUAAUGAAAAGUGAUUUAUAAGAACUUGAAAGAGCUCUUAAAACUCAGCUUUAAAAACCAAAAAAGCAGGGGCUGGAGCUGUGGCUCAGUGGUAGAGCACUUGCCUGGCAGGUGUGAGGCCCUGGGUUCGAUCCCCAGCACCACAUAUAAAUAAGUAAAUUAAGGUCCAUUGACAACUUAAAAAAAAAAAAAAGCAGUAAACCAUUCACAUGAUGUUAAUGAGCAGUCCAUACAAAUACAACUUAUUUUUUUUGAAUAUUUACAGAUGAUAUGGCAGGAAAGCAAAGUUUGCAAGUGUAGAAAUAGAGGAACGCAAUAGUCUCAGAAGACAGUGGGAUGAAGCCCUCCAUGAACGGGGUGGACAGGAAGAUGGCUCUGCUAAGCUGGCUACAGACAGCAAAGAACAGAGCAAUGCAAAUAAGGGAAGAUCUCAGGGCAGGAUAAGCACAGCUCGACCUGGGAACAGAAAGGACAAACUUCAGAAUACAAGCAUCUGCUACAGACAUCGAAGUGACCCAGAGAAAAGAAGGACGCUUGUGCCUUGAACAAGGUGGAUGACUGGCAAGGAUGGGGAGGUGGGAGAGGUUAAUGCCUUAAACAUCUCCACAGCUCCCAAGCCACCAAUCUCAUCACACCAGCAUGAAACCCCCUUCAAUCACUGCUCUCACUAAUGCAGCACUUACAUCAAGCCCUCGGUAAAUGUGCCAGCACCAUGCUGGUGUCGGGGACAGGAAGGGAAAAAAAUAUGAGGUCUGCUCCCAAAAAUUCUAGUCAAGAGAGACAAUCUAAGAAAGCAUGAUGAAACGGUGUGCUAGGCUCUAACUACUUAUGUAAGUGGCAAGGAGCAAAUGAAAACAUGCUCAGCAUUACCAGUCUUCAGAGAACUGCAAAGUAAAAUCACGGUGAGGUCCCACCUCACACCCACUAGAAUGUCCAUGAUCAAAGAGAGACACAGGUACUGAAUUCCCACAGUACCCACAAGUUCUGGUGGGAAUGUCAAGUGGUACAACUCCUUUGGAAAAUAAUUUGGUAUUUCCUUUAAAAAUUAGAUCACCAUAUGACCUGGCAAUUCCAGACUCCCAGGUAUAUAUACCUAAGAAAGAAAAACAGCCACAAAAAACUUGUACACAAGUGCUCACUAGCAUUAUUUAUAGUAGCCAAAAAGUGGAAACAGUGUAGACGUCUGCUGACUAAUGAAUGGAUAAACUGUGGCAUAUUUAUACAAUAGACUAUCACUUGACCAUAAAAGAAAAUGAAGGAAUCCAUGCUACAACAUGGAUGAACUGUGAGUGUAUUAAGCUAAGUCAAAGUCUUCGGGCACAAGACACUUAUCCUGAUUCCACUUACGUGAAAUGUCCGGAAUAGACAUUUAUAAACACAAAGUAGACAGAGGUGGCUACGGGGGAGAACUAACUGCUAAUGAGUUCAGGCUUCCUAAUGGGAAUCUGGUAAUGGCUGCACCACCCUGUCUGCAUAGGACACCUUAAAAUGGUCAAUUUUAUGAUAUGGGAAUUGUAUCUUUUAAUUUGUAAUUCCAGGAACGAGAGAAGUAAUGAGUUUGUUCUGAUUGAGGAAAGGCUCUAGAGACCCCCAAGCACAAAAAAGAGCAACUCUGCAUUACAACCAUGUGUACAUAUGAAGAAGGGGUGAGGCCAAGGGAGCAGUGACUCACGCAAGAUAGCCCUGUGCCUGCGUUACAUGAGAUCGGCCCCUCGAACACAAAGUGCUCCAUAAAUCCGGCCAAACCCCGGGGCAAAAACAGAACAAUCAUUUGGAGUCCCCCCCUUCCCAUUUUUCAUGAAUGUGAUACAUUUAGACAAGCACUUUCUGAAGUCUGCAGCAUAAACAAGAGACUACAUCAAUGCUAAACUUUGCUGUUUUAGCAAAAUCAUUUGUAAGCUAAUUCUUCUGUCAUUAGUUCGGUAGUCAUUAGAAACCAAAUGGCCAGGGAGAAAAGGGGACUGGAGGAAAAAGCAAAUUUGUGUGGGCGGAAUAUCUGUAGAGUAGCUUUGAAGAAACACAGAUAUUUCCCACAGAUUAUGUUCUCAGCCCACAACCUCUGAAAAUGACAUGCAGAUCAGCACAAAGCCUUAAUUACUGCAAAAAAAAAAAACCUAUCAGUGAAGUCCAGGCUCAGCUGACCUCAACCCAAAGACACUCCAUAUUCCCUCAACUCUUUCCUCAUCAGAGUCAACCCUUACAAUCCUUUAUUCACCCUUAACUUAUUACCCGCCCCCCUCCCCCAGCCUCUAAGGGCAUGGUGAACUUCCUUGUCAAAGGGCCAGAGAAGGUAAGUAUUUUUAGGUUUGCAAGCCACAUAGUUCUCCAUCAGAUACUCUUCUGCUGUGUUCUGCCAGUACCACCGAGACACACACACACACACACACACACGCCCUUUUCAUUUUCGAGACAUGGUCUCCCUUAAGUUGCCCAGGCUGGUCUCAAACUUGCAAUACCCCUGCCUCAGCCUCUGAAUAGAUAAGAUUACAGGUGUGUGCCACCUGUAAUACAUGGACCUCUUUUUCUAUUCUUUUAAACAACACUUUAAAAAUAUUAAAAUCAUGGUUACCUCCUGGCCUACAAAUGUAGUCCUAAAAAUGGACUACAGCUUGCUAACUAACCUUCCUCUCAACGAAACUGGCAGAAAAUGAGCCAUAUUGAUCAAAAACUUGCGGUUAUCUACACACUACAUCUUCCAGGUAUGUGAAAAAUCAUCUUUGGUUAUUUGUACACAGGAUCAGAAGAUAAAGACAGAUCAUCAAAAUGGCCACUCUCUCCUUACCUAAUGAUUGGAAGAAAACGGAGUAACGACAUUCGUAAAGAGAAAAGAGGUAUUGCCGAACUGCUGGAAGACUGUGCAACACUUCAAGGAUCUCUGCUCCUUUAAUGACCUGGGUAUUAAAAAAAUAAAGCUUAUACUUUAAUGACUUUGUGUACUUAGAGAA